GAUGCGGCUGCCUAUAUACAGCUCAGUCACCAUGGGGAUGGGCCGGGGCCUUUUCCUGUUGGUCCAGACCCCUCAAUCUGCCCAGAGAAGCCAUGAUAGGAGAGUGGUGAUUGGUGCAAGCAACAUAGGAUGAGGAUUCACUGCCAAUUAAUACAUAUAUUGAAUGAAUUGGCUUUUACUAUGUAUGGCUGUUAAAGACUAUCCACUGAAUUUACCUUGGACAAAUUCCAGCGCUAACAAUUUAGGCCCCGGCUGGAUUCAAACCCACCAGCUCUGGUGGAUGUGGCUGGCACCUUCGCUGCUUGAGCUACAGGUGCCGAGGAAUUCAGAAGAUUUGGAUUAAAGACCCAUGCCAGCAUCAUUUCCAGAAAUGUCUGACAUCAUCUCUCAAAGUCAAUUAGCAGCUUGGUGCCUGUAGCUCAGCAGCUAAGGCGCCAGUCACAUACACUGGGGCUGGUGAGUUCCAACCUGGCCCAGGCCUGCCAAACAAAAAUAAUGACAACAACAACAGCAGCAAAAAUAACCGGGCAUUGUGGCGGGUGCCUGUAGUCACAGCUACUUGGGAAGCUGAGACAAAAGAAUUGCUUAAGCCCAAGAGUUUGAGGUUGCUGUGAGCUGUGACGUUACAGCACUCAACCAAGGGUGACAUAGUGAGACUGUGUCUCAAAAAAAACAAACAAACAAAUACAAAGUCAAUUAGCGCUGCUCUUGGAUGAACCCCAGAAAUCAAUACAAACCACUUAUUCAAGCUAUCCUGUACAAAUACAGACUUUAUAUUUUGUUUGUAUCUUCUACCCCAAAGUAGAUAUUUAUAGCUAUGAAUUCAGAAACAAUUGCAAAUCUGGACUGAGAUUUAGAAAAGAUUAAGGCUGAGAUGACAUAAAUACCUACUUACGUUAAGCACCUAGACUCCAAUAGAGGAUCUGAAGAGGUAUUUAUUGUUGUGAUUACAGCACCUAGUGAAGGCUAACACUUUAUAUUUAUUAGAUAAUAUAAUAUAUAAAAUAUAUUAAUAUGAAUAUAAAAUAUAAAUAUAAUAUAAAUUGUUAUUUAGUCCUCACAA